rnacentral:rRNA from 1 species
AUACGUAGGGUGCGAGCGUUGUCCGGAAUUACUGGGCGUAAAGAGCUCGUAGGUGGUUUGUCGCGUCGUCUGUGAAAUUCCGGGGCUUAACUCCGGGCGUGCAGGCGAUACGGGCAUAACUUGAGUACUGUAGGGGAGACUGGAAUUCCUGGUGUAGCGGUGAAAUGCGCAGAUAUCAGGAGGAACACCGGUGGCGAAGGGGGGUCUCUGGGCAGAAACUGACGCUGAGGAGCGAAAGCAUGGGUAGCGAACAGGAUUAGAUACCCUGGUAGUCCAUGCCGUAAACGGUGGGCGCUAGGUGUAGGGGUCUUCCACGACUUCUGUGCCGUAGCUAACGCAUUAAGCGCCCCGCCUGGGGAGUACGGCCGCAAGGCUAAAACUCAAAUGAAUUGGCGGGG